CUGGCGGCGCGCCUAACACAUGCAAGUCGACCUAGCGAGAGAGAGCUUGCUUUCUCGAGCGAGUGGCGAACGGGUGAGUAACGCGUGAGGAACCUGCCUCAAAGAGGGGGACAACAGUUGGAAACGACUGCUAAUACCGCAUAAGCCCACGGUGCCGCAUGGCACAGAGGGAAAAGGAGCAAUCCGCUUUGAGAUGGCCUCGCGUCCGAUUAGCUAGUUGGUGAGGUAACGGCCCACCAAGGCGACGAUCGGUAGCCGGACUGAGAGGUUGAACGGCCACAUUGGGACUGAGACACGGCCCAGACUCCUACGGGAGGCAGCAGUGGGGAAUAUUGCACAAUGGGGGAAACCCUGAUGCAGCGACGCCGCGUGGAGGAAGAAGGUCUUCGGAUUGUAAACUCCUGUUGUUGAGGAAGAUAAUGACGGUACUCAACAAGGAAGUGACGGCUAACUACGUGCCAGCAGCCGCGGUAAAACGUAGGUCACAAGCGUUGUCCGGAAUUACUGGGUGUAAAGGGAGCGCAGGCGGGAAGACAAGUUGGAAGUGAAAUCCAUGGGCUCAACCCAUGAACUGCUUUCAAAACUGUUUUUCUUGAGUAGUGCAGAGGUAGGCGGAAUUCCCGGUGUAGCGGUGGAAUGCGUAGAUAUCGGGAGGAACACCAGUGGCGAAGGCGGCCUACUGGGCACCAACUGACGCUGAGGCUCGAAAGUGUGGGUAGCAAACAGGAUUAGAUACCCUGGUAGUCCACACUGUAAAACGAUGAUUACUAGGUGUUGGAGGAUUGACCCCUUCAGUGCCGCAGUUAACACAAUAAGUAAUCCACCUGGGGAGUACGACCGCAAGGUUGAGACUCAAAGGAAUUGACGGGGGCCCGCACAAGCAGUGGAGUAUGUGGUUUAAUUCGACGCAACGCGAAGAACCUUACCAAGUCUUGACAUCCCUUGACGAUGCUGGAAACAGUAUUUCUCUUCGGAGCAAGGAGACAGGUGGUGCAUGGUUGUCGUCAGCUCGUGUCGUGAGAUGUUGGGUUAAGUCCCGCAACGAGCGCAACCCUUAUGGUCAGUUACUACGCAAGAGGACUCUGGCCAGACUGCCGUUGACAAAACGGAGGAAGGUGGGGAUGGCGU
rnacentral:rRNA from 1 species